rnacentral:rRNA from 1 species
GAUGGGCAUGCGUGACAUUAGCUAGUUGGUAGGGUAACGGCCUACCAAGGCUGCGAUGUCUAGGGGUCCUGAGAGGGUGAUCCCCCACACUGGUACUGAGACACGGACCAGACUCCUACGGGAGGCAGCAGUGAGGAAUAUUGGUCAAUGGGCGUAAGCCUGAACCAGCCAUCCCGCGUGAAGGAAGAAGGCGCUAUGCGUCGUAAACUUCUUUUCCAGAGGAAUAAAAUUUUGUACGAGUACGGAACUGAAGGUACUCUGGGAAUAAGCAUCGGCUAACUCCGUGCCAGCAGCCGCGGUAAUACGGAGGAUGCGAGCGUUAUCCGGAUUUAUUGGGUUUAAAGGGUGCGUAGGCGGAUUAAUAAGUCAGUGGUGAAAACCUUCAGCUUAACUGGAGAACUGCCAUUGAUACUGUUAGUCUUGAGUACGGUCAAGGUAGGCGGAAUGUGUAAUGUAGCGGUGAAAUGCUUAGAUAUUACACAGAACACCGAUUGCGAAGGCAGCUUACUGGGCCAUUACUGACGCUGAUGCACGAAAGCGUGGGGAGCGAACAGGAUUAGAU